UAAACAAUGCCACGGAACUGCUAUAGGGUAAAAUGUGUCCCCUACAUAUGGCAAUAUGGCGCGUGACAUCACCUGCAGGUGCAUGUGGCAGUGACUCAAAAGCGCUGGCAUGGCAGCAGGCACUGCGGCCAUCAGAGAAUCAGCAAGCAAAACUGGAGCACCAGAGUCAAAUAGGCUCCUUUUCAUUGUAUCUAUUGGCAGAAUUUGAUAAAAUGUUUUAUAUAUAUAAACACGUUUAUUAGCCAUUAGAGGGCAAUGUUGUACAUUGUUAUUGUUAAAGGAAUGUGUUUAGAUUGAUGGUGAAACUUUUUAACCACUAGAGGGCAGUGCUAUGUAUGGAUACUGUAUAUAAGAAGGUUGCAGGUGUCCUAAAUGAUAUUUUGUCAGCAUGAGCAGGGUCUGAAACUUUGCAGUAUCCGUGCCAUAUGUGAAAUAAAGGCGUUUCUAUGAUUAUGAAA